rnacentral:rRNA from 1 species
CCCUUAGAUGUUCUGGGCUGCACGCGUGUUACAAUCGGGAGUACAACAAGAUUGCAAAUCCUAGUGGAUGAGUGGUUCUUCGAAAUUUUCUGAAGACUGGGAUAGUUGAUUGAAAUUAUUCAACUCAAACGAGGAAUUCCUUGUAAUUGUAAUUCAUUAUAUUGUAAUGAAUACGUCCCUGCCCUUUGUACACACCGCCCGUCGCUCCUACCGAUUUCGAGUGAUUCGGUGAACCUUUUGGACAGCGUCUGUCCUCGUGUCAGAUGCUGAAAGUCAAGUAAACCAUAUCACUUAGAGGAAGGAGAAGUCGUAACA